AGAGUUUGAUCAUGGCUCAGAUUGAACGCUGGCGGCAGGCCUAACACAUGCAAGUCGAGCGGUAGCACAGAGAGCUUGCUCUCGGGUGACGAGCGGCGGACGGGUGAGUAAUGUCUGGGAAACUGCCUGAUGGAGGGGGAUAACUACUGGAAACGGUAGCUAAUACCGCAUAACGUCGCAAGACCAAAGUGGGGGACCUUCGGGCCUCAUGCCAUCAGAUGUGCCCAGAUGGGAUUAGCUAGUAGGUGGGGUAACGGCUCACCUAGGCGACGAUCCCUAGCUGGUCUGAGAGGAUGACCAGCCACACUGGAACUGAGACACGGUCCAGACUCCUACGGGAGGCAGCAGUGGGGAAUAUUGCACAAUGGGCGCAAGCCUGAUGCAGCCAUGCCGCGUGUGUGAAGAAGGCCUUCGGGUUGUAAAGCACUUUCAGCGGGGAGGAAGGCGUUAAGGUUAAUAACCUUGGCGAUUGACGUUACCCGCAGAAGAAGCACCGGCUAACUCCGUGCCAGCAGCCGCGGUAAUACGGAGGGUGCAAGCGUUAAUCGGAAUUACUGGGCGUAAAGCGCACGCAGGCGGUCUGUCAAGUCGGAUGUGAAAUCCCCGGGCUCAACCUGGGAACUGCAUUCGAAACUGGCAGGCUAGAGUCUUGUAGAGGGGGGUAGAAUUCCAGGUGUAGCGGUGAAAUGCGUAGAGAUCUGGAGGAAUACCGGUGGCGAAGGCGGCCCCCUGGACAAAGACUGACGCUCAGGUGCGAAAGCGUGGGGAGCAAACAGGAUUAGAUMCCCUGGUAGUCCACGCCGUAAACGAUGUCGAUUUGGAGGUUGUGCCCUUGAGGCGUGGCUUCCGGAGCUAACGCGUUAAAUCGACCGCCUGGGGAGUACGGCCGCAAGGUUAAAACUCAAAUGAAUUGACGGGGGCCCGCACAAGCGGUGGAGCAUGUGGUUUAAUUCGAUGCAACGCGAAGAACCUUACCUGGUCUUGACAUCCACAGAACUUUCCAGAGAUGGAUUGGUGCCUUCGGGAACUGUGAGACAGGUGCUGCAUGGCUGUCGUCAGCUCGUGUUGUGAAAUGUUGGGUUAAGUCCCGCAACGAGCGCAACCCUUAUCCUUUGUUGCCAGCGGUCCGGCCGGGAACUCAAAGGAGACUGCCAGUGAUAAACUGGAGGAAGGUGGGGAUGACGUCAAGUCAUCAUGGCCCUUACGACCAGGGCUACACACGUGCUACAAUGGCAUAUACAAAGAGAAGCGACCUCGCGAGAGCAAGCGGACCUCAUAAAGUAUGUCGUAGUCCGGAUUGGAGUCUGCAACUCGACUCCAUGAAGUCGGAAUCGCUAGUAAUCGUAGAUCAGAAUGCUACGGUGAAUACGUUCCCGGGCCUUGUACACACCGCCCGUCACACCAUGGGAGUGGGUUGCAAAAGAAGUAGGUAGCUUAACCUUCGGGAGGGCGCUUACCACUUUGUGAUUCAUGACUGGGGUGAAGUCGUAACAAGGUAACCGUAGGGGAACCUGCGGUUG
rnacentral:rRNA from 1 species